UUACCUACGGGAGGCAGCAGUGGGGAAUAUUGCACAAUGGGGGAAACCCUGAUGCAGCGACGCCGCGUGAGUGAAGAAGUAUUUCGGUAUGUAAAGCUCUAUCAGCAGGGAAGAAAAUGACGGUACCUGAUUAAGAAGCCCCGGCUAACUACGUGCCAGCAGCCGCGGUAAUACGUAGGGGGCAAGCGUUAUCCGGAUUUACUGGGUUUAAAGGGUGCGUAGGCGGACUGUUAAGUCAGCGGUAAAAGCCCGGGGCUCAACCCCGGCGAGCCGUUGAAACUGGCUGUCUUGAGAUGUCGAGAGGG
rnacentral:rRNA from 1 species